rnacentral:rRNA from 1 species
AGAGUUUGAUCCUGGCUCAGAGCGAACGCUGGCGGCAGGCCUAACACAUGCAAGUCGAACGAGCACUUCGGUGCUAGUGGCAGACGGGUGAGUAACGCGUGGGAACGUGCCCUUUGGUUCGGAACAACUCAGGGAAACUUGAGCUAAUACCGGAUGUGCCCUUCGGGGGAAAGAUUUAUCGCCAUUGGAGCGGCCCGCGUUGGAUUAGCUAGUUGGUGGGGUAAAGGCCCACCAAGGCUACGAUCCAUAGCUGGUCUGAGAGGAUGAUCAGCCACACUGGGACUGAGACACGGCCCAGACUCCUACGGGAGGCAGCAGUGGGGAAUCUUGCGCAAUGGGCGAAAGCCUGACGCAGCCAUGCCGCGUGAAUGAUGAAGGUCUUAGGAUUGUAAAAUUCUUUCAGCAGGGACGAUAAUGACGGUACCUGCAGAAGAAGCCCCGGCUAACUUCGUGCCAGCAGCCGCGGUAAUACGAAGGGGGCUAGCGUUGCUCGGAAUUACUGGGCGUAAAGGGCGCGUAGGCGGGUCGUCAAGUUGGGGGUGAAAGCCCAGGGCUCAACCCUGGAACUGCCUUCAAAACUGGCGACCUAGAGUAUGGUAGAGGUGUGUGAACUCCGAGUGUAGAGGUGAAAUUCGUAGAUAUUCGGAGACACAGUGGCGAGGCGACACACUGGGUCAUUACUGACGCUGAGGCGCGAAGCGUGGGGAGCAAACAGGAUAGAUACCCUGUUAGUCCACGCUGUAAACGAUGAAAGCUAGUGGUCGCAUGCAUGCAUGUCGUGACGCAGCUACGCAUAGCUCUCGCCUGGGGAGAUACGGUCGCAGGAUAACUCAAAAAAGAAAAGUCGCCUCGCCC